GACAGGCCGUUAGCUCAGUUGGUUAGAGCGUGGUGCUAAUAACGCCAAGGUCGCGGGUUCGACUUCCGCGUCGGGCCAGUCG